rnacentral:rRNA from 1 species
UUCCGGUUGAUCCCGCCGGACCCUACUGCUAUCGGGGUGGGACUAAGACAUGCGAGUUGAGCGUCUCUAAGCUAUGGUAGAGACGCGGCGUACGGCUCAGUAACACGUGGCUAACCUACCCUUAGGACGGGGACAACCCCGGGAAACUGGGGCUAAUACCCGAUAGGCGAGGAGGCCUGGAAUGGUUCUUAGUCGAAAAGGCGUUGAAACCAUGCUUUUCGACGUUGCCUAAGGAUGGGGCCGCGCCCGAUCAGGUUGUUGGUGGGGUAACGGCUCACCAAGCCUAUAACCGGUACGGGCCGUGAGAGCGGGAGCCCGGAGAUGGGCACUGAGACAAGGGCCCAGGCCCUACGGGGCGCAGCAGUCGCGAAAACUCCGCAAUGCGCGAAAGCGUGACGGGGCUACCCCGAGUGCCGUCCGCUGAGGAUGGCUUUUCCCCGGUGUAAUGAGCCGGGGGAAUAAGGAGAGGGCAAGUCUGGUGUCAGCCGCCGCGGUAAUGCCAGCUCUCCGAGUGGUAGGGAUGAUUAUUGGGCUUAAAGCGUCCGUAGCCGGCUUAGCAAGUCUCCUGUUAAAUUCAGCGACCUAAUCGUUGAGCCGCGGGAGAUACUACUAGGCUAGGAGGCGGGAGAGGCCGACGGUAUUCUCGGGGUAGGGGUGAAAUCCUAUAAUCCCGGGAGGACCACCAGUGGCGAAGGCUGUCGGCUAGAACGCGCUCGACGGUGAGGGACGAAAGCUGGGGGAGCGAACCGGAUUAGAUACCCGGGUAGUCCCAGCUGUAAACGAUGCGGGCUAGGUGUUGGGGUGGCUACGAGCCACUUCAGUGCCGCAGGGAAGCCAUUAAGCCCGCCGCCUGGGGAGUACGGCCGCAAGGCUGAAACUUAAAGGAAUUGGCGGGGGAGCACCACAAGGCGUGAAGCUUGCGGUUCAAUUGGAGUCAACGCCGGA